GACGAACGCUGGCGGCGUGCCUAACACAUGCAAGUCGAACGUUGAAACCCUUCGGGGUGGAUUAGCGGCGGACGGUUGAGUAACACGUAGGUAACCUGCCGCAAAGAGGGGGAUAGCCUCCCGAAAGGGAGAUUAAUACCGCAUAAUAUUAGUUUUUCGCAUGAAGGACUAAUUCAAGGAGGAAUGCGCUUUGUGAUGGACCGGCGGCGCAUUAGCUAGUUGGUGAGGUAAAGGCUCACCAAGGUGACGAUGCGUAGCAGACCUGAGAGGGUGAGCGGCCACAUUGGAACUGAGACACGGUCGAGAGUCCUACGGGAGGCAGCAGUGGGGAAUAUUGCACAAUGGGCGAAAGCCUGAUGCAGCAACGCCGCGUGAGUGAUGAAGGCCUUCGGGUUGUAAAGCUCUGUCUUUUGGGACGAUAAUGACGGUACCAAAGGAGGAAGCCACGGCUAACUACGUGCCAGCAGCCGCCGUAAAAC
rnacentral:rRNA from 1 species